rnacentral:rRNA from 1 species
GACGAACGCUGGCGGCGUGCUUAACACAUGCAAGUCGAACGGAAAGGUCCUGCUUUUGUGGGGUGCUCGAGUGGCGAACGGGUGAGUAACACGUGAGUAACCUGCCCUUGACUUUGGGAUAACUUCAGGAAACUGGGGCUAAUACCGGAUAGGAGCUCCUGCUGCAUGGUGGGGGUUGGAAAGUUUCGGCGGUUGGGGAUGGACUCGCGGCUUAUCAGCUUGUUGGUGGGGUAGUGGCUUACCAAGGCUUUGACGGGUAGCCGGCCUGAGAGGGUGACCGGCCACAUUGGGACUGAGAUACGGCCCAGACUCCUACGGGAGGCAGCAGUGGGGAAUAUUGCACAAUGGGCGGAAGCCUGAUGCAGCAACGCCGCGUGCGGGAUGACGGCCUUCGGGUUGUAAACCGCUUUCGCCUGUGACGAAGCGUGAGUGACGGUAAUGGGUAAAGAAGCACCAGCUAACUACGUG